ACAUAGACAAAUAAGGAAAUAAGAAAAGCCAAGAAUCAGAAGGAAGAUCUCAGUAUUCCCAGUCAGUCUUUGAAUGCAGACAACAGAGCAAAGGAGAACUUUAAGAUUUUUGAAGACAGAAAUGUAAAGUCUUUGGGAGAACAUGACCUUUGAGACAUACAAAGAGAGAAGCCCACUUUGAGACUUGUGCUUUUCUGGGACGAAGGAGCACAUCUGCUACAGAGCAACCAGAAAUCCAUCAACUAAGAGACUGCAUAAAUCUUACUGGGUUAUCUCUUCACAUGGAACACUUGCAUCCUCUUAGCAUGUCCUUCCCAAGAAAAUAGAAAGCAUGUCACACUGUUUUAGCAAUCCUUUAUUGAAGAUAACAAUUGGUUAUGUUCACUGUAUUGUAUGAAACAUCACAAUAUCAUACUGGGAAGGUACUAUCAGUACAGGGUUGGACCAGAGCGGACAGUCUGAACAAUAAACCAUUUUGCAUUCUUCAUUCCCUAUCUUUUAACAACCCCAAAAAAACCAGUAAAGGGACAAAUACCUGUUAACAUCAUCAUUUAAAACACUUUAACUUACAAGGCUAAAAUCUAAUGAAUAAAUAAAAUAUACUGUGGCAAUAAUCCUCUCUAGACCAAAAAAAAAAUAAUAAA